rnacentral:pre_miRNA from 1 species
UCUCAUGGAUGAGCAAAUAAACUGGUUUCUUGAGAUGGAAUCUCCUCUUAGUGAAGAUGCUGUGAA